AAGAAGGAAGUCUCGCCGAAAAGGUACAAUGCCUAGGUCUUAUUUUCGGGGUAGGGCUUAUAUUACAGCCCACCCCGAAAAUCCGACUAGGGCUUAUUUUCGGGGUAGGGUUUAUUUUCGGGGAAACACGGUAGAUGGAAUUUUUGAUUUUAGCUUUGGAAGAACAUAAAUCUAAAGCUGUCAGGAGGAUCAACAGAAUUAUCGAUUUGAGAGAGGGUUGGAGUGCAGGGUAUUCAUAGUUUAUACUAAGUGACCCAUAGGUUGAGGAGGUGGUGACCGUGGAAGAGGAGGAUGAGGUAGCCAACACUGGUAAUGGGGAAUCAGGAUUCCAUUCCAUACAGGCACCCUGAGAAAUGGCUACCACAUGCAAGGAAGGCAGCAGGCGUGCAAAUGACCCACUCCCGACGCGGCAAGGCAGUGAU